rnacentral:rRNA from 1 species
UACGUAGGUGACAAGCGUUUGUCCGGAUUUACUGGGCGUAAAGAGCGCGCAGGCGGUCGUUCAAGUCGAGUGUGAAAGCCCCCGGCUCAACUGGGGAGGGUCAUUCGAUACUGAUCGACUCGAAGGCAGGAGAGGGUAGUGGAAUUCCCGGUGUAGUGGUGAAAUGCGUAGAUAUCGGGGAGGAACACCAGUGGCGAAGGCGACUACCUGGCCUGUUCUUGACGCUGAGGCGCGAAAGCUAGGGGAGCAAACGGGG